rnacentral:rRNA from 1 species
UACGGAGGAUGCGAGCGUUAUCCGGAUUUAUUGGGUUUAAAGGGUGCGCAGGCGGAGGUGCAAGUCAGCGGUCAAAUUGCGGGGCUCAACCCCGUACUGCCGUUGAAACUGCAUCCCUUGAGUGCGCGAGAAGUAUGCGGAAUGCGUGGUGUAGCGGUGAAAUGCAUAGAUAUCACGCAGAACUCCGAUUGCGAAGGCAGCAUACCGGCGCCCGACUGACGCUGAAGCACGAAAGCGUGGGUAUCGAACAGG